rnacentral:sRNA from 1 species
CAUCUGCAGCAGGAAUAGCGUCGUAUUC